rnacentral:tRNA from 2 species
AAAUAUGAAGCGAUUUUAUUGCAAUUAGUUUCGACCUAAUACUAGGUAAAUUUACCCUUAUUUUUU